UGUUGGUGCCCUGUCUGUAGCUCUUUUAAAAUUUUUACAGAUGUUGUAAAAGGAGACUUUGGACUACAGGUUUUAUUCUCCAUUUUUUUCUUGGAAUUGCAUCCUGGAAAAGACAUGAUGUUCAUGCCCAAUUAUUGAGCUGAGGAUAGAGACUUUUGAAGAAAAGUAAUGCUAUUGCUUAUCACCUUCUGAACUCUUGCCUCUUAGGACCAUCCCUCACUAUGGAAGAUGAUAUUUUGAUGUGUAUCCAGAGGAGUUUGAGCCAACUCUCUCUCUCUCUCCCUCUCUCUCUAAAAACAGACUGUAGUAUGUUCAUCCAGGGAUACAACCUUAUAUUCUGCUGGGUGAGAGAUUGUCAUGGGUUCAUACAGCAGCAUGUGGUGGUGUGUCUUACUGAGAUCUGUGGAAGAUGACUCAGAAGUCAGGAGGACACCGAGUAGGAGAUCAGCUCAUGAGACUACGGGUUUUUCUUUUUGCUGACAAUAUAAAAGUUGUCCAUGUGUUUUCAGGAGCCCCACAUUUAUGUGCCAUCCGUUACCCACAUUGUGUUAUCUUUUCCACUUGGACAAUGUAGAUGAUAGGAGGUUUUUUAUUCUACAUGGUGGUACUUAAUACAAGAAAUUUUUAAGUUCCUUGUGGCAGAGCAGGUUGGGACAGAGGGAAUAGGUGCUGAUGACUUGUGGAGGGACAAAAUGUAUAUCCUUCACAAUCUGACCUGACUGAAUAGACUUUCUGCUUUUUGGAAGUCUUUACCCAGGAGGAAUAAAAAUCUGGAAAACCAGGAAUUAAAUUAAGACCACAAGUGAUUAAAAAUGAGACUGCCAGCUUUCUGUCUCACCUAUGCAGGGCACUCUAGGCUUACCAUGAAGACAGAGCAGGGCCAGCCUGUGCACCCCAGCCCCCCGUGCACCACCAAGACAAAUCUCAGUGUAAAUAGGGAGCCACACAAUACAGCAGCCCAUUCAUCAGAGACAAACCUGUGGAAAUACCCCAAAGGGUAACUCCAGUUAUACUUGAAAUGUCCAGGAAAGUGUUCUGAUGUCCCACCCUACAGUACUGAAGCUUUGCCUGCUCCUGGCACAGCCAGCUGAGCAGCUGUUGAUGCAGCUGUGUUAGAUGGUUUGAAAAAGCCUGAGAAGAAUAUAUCUUCAUGGCACUCCAGCUGUAAUAUAACAUGAAAAUAUUGCCUCUGGGCAUUAACAAGACUUUAAAUGCUCUACAGACCAACAUCUUCACUGGCAGAACAGGACUAGCUGUGUCCACAUGUCUGCUAGCUAAUGGUUUCUCAUAUGUGGGAUUAAAGUAGAAUACACAUUCUUAGGAGCAGUGGUAGUUGGUGGGUGGGGAUACAAUUUGAUAGGCCUUGAAGCCAGAAACACAGGAAUGGAGGCUGCCAUUAAAGGACGCUCUGUGCAUAAAGUCAUCUGGAUUUGCUAUGCACCACUACAGACAGAGAGUGCCUAGAGAAAGAUUGCAGUGUAGUUUGGGCAUUUUCUGGUGAACUGGGACAUCUGCUUCUAAUUUGUGUUGCCCUUAUUCCUGGACAGAAAGGUGUCAAGCAGUGUAGGGGACAAGAAUAGAGUGUAGGGAGCUUGCUUUAGUUGCAUGAUUAUUUGGCCCAUGUAAUUAGCUGGAUUAGAGCUAAUCUAAGUAUAUUUUUCAUUGCUUCUCUCUCCAUUGACACUAUUGGCUUCUAAAUGUGUUGGAGUCCAGUUGACCCCAUGAGCCUCUUCUAAUCAAUGAGCAGCUGCCCUCCAUGUCAUGUGAGAUUAGGCCAGUUUUCAGAGAAACACCACCAUUGAAAAUCAUUGUGGGUGUCAUCUUUGCUUCCUCUAUCCCUGGCACCUCCUGAACAGGAGCAGGGCAAUUACUACAUGUGGUUUAAUUUGCUUGCUUUGGCUUUUAUUUCAUUUGGGCUGCAAAGCAGAGGGUACUUACAUGGCAAGGGUGGAUCAAUUUCUGCCAGUUGCUGACUCUGAGCUUGCUUGAGCAUGUGCUGAUGCUAUAAAUAAGAGAGGUUCUGUCUCUCACUGAAAGUUCUUUGUCAGCCAUACAAUACUGAGAUUUGUUAGGUAUUAACUGGGUUACAGGUACGUACAGGAUGCCACGUGUUGCUUGGAGGGUUGGCAGGUUCUUUCCAUGUGACCUGAUUUGCAGUAGUUUGGGGUACAACAAACCAGAUGACUGAACUAAAGGAUUAUUUGCUGAUCAUCCUCCCAAAAAGAAGGCAGAACUGAGGGUCUCCAAGCAGUUGUUUGGCUUGGGUUCUCAGUGGCACACUUGUGUCUGCAUGUCUGUCUAACGUGCUGGCCAUGGUUUUUUUGUUCUUGUUUUUUCUCAUCACCUUGGUAUGUAUUUUCAGGAGUGCAUUCAAAGGCAAGGCACCAAAGGGAAGUACCAAAUCUAAGGAACCAGGGCAAGGAGGAGGGUGCCUGCUGGGCAGAUAUUUUGGGCAACAAUGCGGCAUCACACAGAAGUUUCAAUAGAUAGAAAGGGAGAAAGGGGUAGAAGAGAUUCAGGCUCUUUCUUGCUCUGUCCUACACCCUGUUAACGUGAAGUCUCCAUCUCGUAAGGAUUAUUAGUAUUACUGUGAUGUCCUAUGAUUCCUCUUGGGUUCAAGAUAAUGGCAGUUUUCUAAGCGUGCAACAUAAAAUCCUGAGAUGUUCAUUAAGAUCUGCUAAUUAAAAGAGACAACAGACUCAUUUGGAGGAUGUGGAUGUCACGGAACACCACAGCUGUUAUCUCUGAGCUUUAAAAGCAGUUCUUCAACAGUCAAACUGCUGGAAAGAGAUGACAUUUUCUUUCCUCCUUCCCAGCCUAAAAUCUGCUGGAGAACUGGUACUGGUAUUCAGUGUCAUGUUCCUUUCCCUUCAGUGUGUUUUGCUUUUGCCAGAGAGCAUCUUAUUCAGGCUGAGUCAGGUCAUUCACUCUCAACAAACCCUGAAGAAGAGGAAUACUGAUAAAUAAGAAAAAAUGUGGGGCCUUUGCUCACAGGAGGUUACUUGCAUGAUGGAUGGAUGGGCAUGAGCUGGUGAAAACUGGGGGCUGCUGGUGUAAGCUAAUACACACCUCCUGAAACUCCCCAGCUCUGCUGUAGCUGACUAAAAUAAGCAUUUGUGCUCGGAAGUGUAAUUGCAGUUUCUGAGCACAAAUUUCUUGGAGCCAGGCACCUGACACUGGAGAAACUGCAGUCAGUGGUGCUUCACUCCCCAUAUCUGGGGCUGGUACUGUGUUGUAUCUGCAGUAAGUGACCUCAUGUGAUAAGCCUGUUGGUUCAAACGCUGCUUUGGCAGAGCUCAUUAUGAGGGAACUCUUGCCUGGCCCUGCCCAAAGAUAGUUUUUGCCAGGCCUACUGACUUUGAUAUAUUAGUCCUUAUGGUGACAGGGAUAUCAGCCAGCCUCCCCAAAGCCUUCCCACUCUUUUGGUUUUCAGGCCUCUGGCAAGGAGGAGAGGGCUUUGGUUUGGGGCUUUUCCACAUCAGCUAUCUGUCAGACAAGCUGACUAUGUCAAGGUUGGUGCAGGUACAGCAAAAAUCCCGGUUCAUGAACACAGAACUAGAAAUGAGGUGACAGAAAGGAAAGGGACAGCAAGAGCUCAGAUUAAUUCUCUUGUAUUUGGGGCUCUUUCCCUCUUUGGGGCUUUUGGGGAACAGGGGAAGAAUGCAGCUGAAUUCUGUGGGGCUGAGACCUCACACCCACUUUCUCCAGCAACUGCUUAAAUCUACUCCCAGCCUUUAAUUUUAAACCAGCAUCUCCCCUUCAUUCCCUUUCUCCUGCUUUUUAGCCUGAUCUGUGUUUUUAACACUUGGCAUUCAUAUGUAAAGAUAAGGAAUAGGGCCCUUCCCACCUCCUGGGCUUUCUUGGCUUACAGGCUUGUAUCCUGUUCUUUUCACUAGUGCUUUCCCACCAACUCGAAUGCCCUCCCUUCUGAUCCCAGCCCUUUCCAGAAGCCAUACAAAGUCAAAGUAUUUCGAUUUGUGGAACCCCUAACAUGUUUCCAGGUAAACAGUGGAUACUGCUACAGUUCUGGUAAUUUUGUUAUGCCAGUUAUGUUCCCUGCUUAUCCUAUGACAUAAAAAUCCAGAUUGGGUAUUUAGGAUGCUGUCUCCAAGCCACCUUUUCUCUUCUCUUUCUCACUAUCCCUCCCCACUUUUUGGCACAUCGUGUGAGAGGGUUUUGGUGCCACAGCAGGCAACCAAAUGCUAACAAGCCCCCUGGUUCUGGCUUACAGCAGUCCUGCCACCAGUGGUUAACUAAACGUUCAGGUCAAAUCCACUGUGCUUCUGGUUUGUGCCUACCUUUUGAAAUGUGAAUACUUUUUUUAAAUACUGACUGAACGGUGCUAAGUGCUGGCCUUUUAUAACUGAGGUUAUAAAAGAGAGGUAACUGGGAUACCUGGAGCUUGCGAGUUUCCAGGAGGGAAAUUAAUCCAGGAUAAUUUUGACUAUUAGGAGAAAAUUACUUUCUUGUUAUUUUUGAAGUACAUAAUGGUAAUAGUUUUCCAUUUACUGUCCUAGGUGGCUCAGGGCUUCCUGCUGCUGCCAAACCAUCAGGUUUUUUUCAAAGAAGAGAAAAGAGGCAACAAAAGAUUCAAUCCAUGGGAACUGUAGCAGGGAUUGACAGGUUACCCCAGCUGGUGCAGCAUGAACAUCCAGGAGUGACAAGAACUUCAGCUCAGUUCAGCUGUAGAUGAAAGCUGUAACUUUCCAUGGAAACCACUGGAUUGAUUUCCUAUCUUUUGCUACAGCUGCAUCCUGGCUUUAGAUUUCCUCUCUGGGGUGAGAGCUGCCCAGUGGACCACUGGACUGGAGACAAAAGAGGUUGGGAUGCUGGGAGGACCACAGGGCUCCAAAUAUUGAACAGUGGCAAGUCAGCACUAUGAGCAAUUGUUGUUGUGAGUCAACAUUGAAUCCCUGCCAGAGAUGCCUUUUGCAAAUAAAAUUUAGCACUGAUUUAUCAAUGGGUAAGUUUAAAACAUGAUGUAAACUACUCAGUAUAUAAUGAAUCCUUCUGGAUCAAAAGAAAAUGCUCAUAAUGACUUUAUUAUAAAUAAAUACUAUGUUUAAGGGGACCAAAUCAAUGUAAGGGUAUUGCUAUGUUUAUCCACUCAUAAGCUUGCUACUUUCCUUACUACCGGUGGCUGAUAGAGAGGGUUUUGUUAAUGUUUUUUUUUUUCCGUUUUGUUACCUUAACAAAACUGUCCACAUGUAUUCUUUAGCCUUGAUUCUUGCUGUUCAGAGAGCCUUUGUGUCCACAGACACAGUUCUGCUUCUCAGCCGGCAUCCAGUGGCACAAGACCAGAAUCAGUGGCAGAAAAGCAACCUCCCCCAAAUUCCCUUCUGCAUGCCACACACUGCUUCUGUCAGACAGGGCGUUUUCUAGAACCCUGUUCCCAUGGUGAACGCAGUUCAUCUCUUCUGCUGCCCAGAGCUGACCCUGGGGGAGAGACCACCUGAACGCUCUCAGAUUCUGGUCUUGAGGCAAAGAGCAGCUGGGUUUUCGGAGCUUUCCCCAGAGUAACUUCUGCUCUCUGUGUGCACUUCAGCUCCAGGCUGAUGCACCUUCAGGCGUGGGGGGGGGUGGGUGGGUAUGUGGGGUGUGCUUAGUUUUGUUUUACUUGUUUUAUUUUGGUUUUUUUUCCUCUUCGCUGGCGCGAUUUCAGCGGUGCCAAUGGCAGUGCUCUGGUGCCGCGCCCACAGCCGUUGUUCGGGGGCUGCCGCUGCACCCGCGGUGUCCCGCACCGAAGGCUGUCCCAGUGAGGACCGGCUGUGGCUCCGGGGGGCGAGGAAGGGGCGGCCCUGGGGGUGCUGCUGGCAAGCGGGUCCUUAAGCUCGGGGUUCGGCGGCCCGGCCC